CUACAUGUAACAUCAGCUCCUCUCUCCAUCACACACUGGAGUUUACUGGUGUCAGUCUGAAUCUGGAGAACGCAGUGAUUCUGUCAACAUCACAGUACACAAUGGUGAUGUGAUCCUGAACAGUCCUGUCCAUCCUGUAACUGAGGGAAAUCCUCUGACUUUACACUGUUUAUAUCACAACACAAAGAUCUCAACUGGUAUUGAUUUCUAUAAAAAUGAUUCAAUCAUCCAGAAUCAGACUACAGGAGUGAUGACCAUCAGCAGUGUGUCAAAGUCAGAUGAAGGUUUCUACCACUGUAAACAUCCAGAGAGAGGAGAGUCACCGAGAAGCUGGAUUUCAGUCAGAGGUUCUGCAGCGUCACUGUCGGUUCUGAAGCUCCUCAGCAGUGCAGUAACAGUUUCUGUGUAUGUGCUGGUGACCUUCAUUCUGGCAGUGAAAUGCUACAGAGCUCAAACUGAACCUGAUGAUAACAGACCAUACAGAGUGAUAGAAGCUGAAACAUCUUUCUGAGUGUUAAAUAGCAGGUUUUCUGUUUUAUAAUUUAGUUUUUACAUAACAACAGUGUCCAGUGUAAGAGAACACUUUCUGUGAGGAUUUAGACUUGUUUCAUUAAACCUGUGAUUAAACCUGUUACCAUCAUGAGUGAGGAUUUGAGGUCAUGGACGGCUACAAGUUCUUGGGAGUUCACUUGAACAGUAGAUUGGACUGGAGGACCAACACGGACACUGUGUAUAAGAAGGGUUUGAGCAGACUUUAUUUCCUGAGGAAGCUCAGAUCCUGUAUGCAGCAGGAUGAUGGGAAUCUUUUAUCAGUCUGUUAUGGAAAGUGCUCUAUAUAGUGCUGUGGUCUGCUGGGGAGCAGCAUCAGUGUCAGGGAUGCAGGCGAGAUCAAUAAAAUCAUCCGCAAGGCUGAAUACAUAAUCAGACACAAACUGGACAGAUUGGAGACAGUGAGGGACAACAGGUCACUGAACAAACUCCUGUCAAUCAUGAAAAAUCCUCCCACCCACUACAUGAUUCCAUACAGAGGCAGUGAAGUUCAUUCUCUAACAGACUGAUUCAGCUUCACUCUCACAAAGAACAGUUCAGAAAAUCAUUCCUACUGUUUGCCAUUGCACUGAACUCACCUCCAUGUAACAUGAUAAUAUUAUAUACAUAUCCCAUAAUUCACUUUCAUUUUGAAUUGUCAGUUUUUCACUCUUUUUCUGUGUAGCAUCAUCUGGUAUAUUCUCUUAUUUGUUUUAAUUACAAUUAUUAAUUACAUUCUGCUUUUAUUACUGAUUGUUUAACCUGCUGCUGCUGUAUUGCAAUAUUUUCCCUCACGGUAUCA